UACGUAGGCAGCAAGCGUUGUUCGGAGUUACUGGGCGUAAAGGGUGCGUAGGCGGCCUUAUAAGUAUGGUGUGAAAUCUCCCGGCUUAACUGGGAGGGUGCGCUAUAGACUGUGGGGCUAGAGUGUGGGAGAGGAAAGUGGAAUUCCUGGUGUAGCGGUGAAAUGCGUAGAUAUCAGGAGGAACACCAAUGGCGAAGGCAGCUCGCUGGGACGGUACUGACGCUGAGACGCGAAAGCGUGGGGAGCAAACAGG
rnacentral:rRNA from 1 species